rnacentral:rRNA from 1 species
AAAACGACUCUCGGCAACGGAUAUCUCGGCUCUCGCAUCGAUGAAGAACGCAGCGAAAUGCGAUACGUGGUGUGAAUUGCAGAAUUCCGUGAAUCAUCGAGUUUUUGAACGCAAGUUGCGCCCAAAGCCAUUUGGUUGAGGGCACGCCUGCUUGGGCGUCACGCACC